UUACACUGAUUUAAAUGUCGUAAAACUGUUACUCUGGCGCUCAUCUGGCCUUAUUCUUCCUGUAAACUGAGAGUACACUCCUCCUUCGCCAUGUGUUACCUGACAGGAGUUAGUUUCACCGUGUGUUGUGCUCAGUGGGUGUGUCUCUUUUCUGCUUGGGAACUGCUUUAUUCUUUCUUUCUCAAUGCAUUCAUCUGUCUUAAGCCGUCUCUGUCGCCAUCUUUUCCUCAUUUGAACACAGAGCUUCAGCAUGUCUGCUCCUGCCAGUGAUGAUGGUGCUGUGUCUCGCCAUCUAAUGGCCUGUGCUGAUAUUAUAUGCAAAUAUGGUAGAUGUGUGCUGAUGGAUGGGAAGCCCACCUGUGAGUGUAUGCUGGGCUACAUCGGAGACACCUGUAAUGAAACAAUUAAUAACUCUCUGUCUGUGCCGCUCACCCUCGGUUUCCUGGCUUCCAUCAUUGGCUUUAUCAUCAUGUUCUUUGGGAUGGCUUUUUUCCGGCAAAGGCAAAAGGCGAAGAAGAGAGAAAAGGCAGCUGAAGAAGCCCUGUUAAGAAACGGAGCACAUCUUUAACAUGUUUUAAUGCCAAAAAAUAGGUUCGUGGUUCUACAACACAAUGUCUCAAAUGAACUCUAUUAUGAUGGUAACUCUUUUCUCUCUCUCUUUGUGUGUCUUUUUAAACUGUAUCUUUUAAAUACAAUUUCAUAUAUAUAUAUUCACACAUAAUACAUAUAUUAAUCUCAUGUUAUACUGGUGUACAUAUGUCUUGACGUAGCACUGAAUGCACUCAGCAUUAACUGAAAAUUCUUGUAUAUGGAAAACGUGAAGUCCGCAGCACAUUUGAAUGAUUGUAGAACAUGACUUGGGUUGGUGUAUACCUGCAAGGCAGAUGAAUGUGAAUAAUGUUAAACAUGCAUUGACUGGUUCCUGAAACAUGCCCGGUAUUUCAGUGCUGUUUUUCUGCUGUUAUAUUUAGCUCAGUCCUGAAAGCAGACUAGUUUCAUGAACUGAUAACCCACAGACAAGUAUCUUUCAUGGAGAACAGUCACGCCAUUUUUGUAUGGGUUUUGGUUGUGUUUACUUUUACUUUUGGAGUUUCACAACAACUCUGCAUUCAGCCUUUUUAAUUUAGUUUAGUUGAGGCCUCAUUCAACUGUUAACAUGACUGUCUGUACAGGUUUCUUUCUUGUUCUUUUUUGAAUAAAGAUCUUUGUUUUUGUUUG